rnacentral:rRNA from 1 species
AUUGAACGCUGGCGGCAUGCCUUACACAUGCAAGUCGAACGGUAACGCGGGGCAACCUGGCGACGAGUGGCGAACGGGUGAGUAAUGUAUCGGAACGUGCCCAGUUGUGGGGGAUAACUGCUCGAAGGAGCAGCUAAUACCGCAUACGACCUGAGGGUGAAAGCGGGGGAUCGCAAGACCUCGCGCAAUUGGAGCGGCCGAUAGCAGGGUAGGUAGUUGGUGGGGUAAAGGCUCACCAAGCCAACGAUCUGUAGCUGGUCUGAGAGGAAGACCAGCCAGACUGGGAUGGCGACACGGCCCAGACUGCUACGGGAGUCAGCAGUGGGGAAUUUUGGACGAUGGACGCAAGCCUGAUCCAGCCAUGCCGCGUGCGGGAAGAAGGCCUUAGGGUUGUAAACCGCUUUUGUCAGGGAAGAAACGCUCUGGGUUAAUACCUCGGGGUAAUGACGGUACCUGAAGAAUAAGCACCGGCUAACUACGUGCCAGCAGCCGCCGUAAUAC